GGUGGCUCAGUGGUAGAGCGCUUGCCUUGCAUGCAUGAGGCCCUAGAGCGCUUGCCUUACAUGCAUGAGGCCCUGGGUUCGAUUCCCCAGCACCA
rnacentral:tRNA from 1 species